AGUCGAACGCGAAAGCCCCGCAAGGGGUAAGUAGAGUGGCAAACGGGUGAGUAACACGUGGGUGACCUGCCUUAGAGUGGGGGAUAACGUCCCGAAAGGGACGCUAAUACCGCAUAACAUCCUGCCUUUGAAGAGGUGGAGAUCAAAGCUGGGGACCGCAAGGCCUAGCGCUCAAAGAGGGGCCCGCGCCUGAUUAGCUAGUUGGUGAGGUAAUGGCUCACCAAGGCAACGAUCAGUAUCCGGCCUGAGAGGGCGGACGGACACACUGGGACUGAGACACGGCCCAGACUCCUACGGGAGGCAGCAGUGGGGAAUUGUUCGCAAUGGGCGCAAGCCUGACGACGCAACGCCGCGUGGAGGAUGAAGAUCUUCGGGUCGUAAACUCCUUUCGAUCGAGACGAAUGAUCUCCGGGUGAACAAUCCGGAGAAAUGACGGUACCGAGAGAAGAAGCCCCGGCUAACUCCGUGCCAGCAGCCGCGGUAAUACGGGGGGGGCAAGCGUUGUUCGGAAUUACUGGGCGUAAAGGGCUUGUAGGUGGCCAACUAAGUCAAACGUGAAAUCCCUCGGCUUAACCGGGGAACUGCGUCUGAUACUGGAUGGCUUGAGUUUGGGAGAGGGACGCGGAAUUCCAGGUGUAGCGGUGAAAUGCGUAGAUAUCUGGAGGAACACCGGUGGCGAAGGCGGCGUCCUGGACCAAUACUGACACUGAAAAGCGAAAGCCAGGGGAGCAAACGGGAUUAGAUACCCCGGUAGUCCUGGCCCUAAACGAUGAAUGCUUGGUGUGGCGGGUAUCGAUCCCUGCCGUGCCGAAGCUAACGCAUUAAGCAUUCC
rnacentral:rRNA from 1 species